rnacentral:lncRNA from 1 species
GACCAACGCCAGGGGCUCCAGAUCCCGAUGAAGAUCUAGAUCUCCUCUACUUCUAAUCUAACUAACUAGAACUAUGAAAUAGAAGGCUCUUGAUGAACUUGAAGGCGCUUGAUGCUUGAUGGCUUGAGGCCUUGAUGAAUAAUGAGGUUUGUCUCCAGGGGGGUCUGCCCACGUAUUUAUAGUCCGGUGGGAGUCGCACGGGCUGUCGGAUCAAACCGACUUAACCAAGGGCUGAGAUGACUCCUCCAAGGCGGUGGACGAAGCUUUCGGAAGGGGGGCACCAAACCCUAGAGCAGGGGGCUGGCCGAUGCUAGGAUGGGGCCAACCGGCCCCACCUGGCAGCCGCUGGCUCCCCCCUUACGUCGGGUGUCUUCUAGAGUGUUCCUGGAUCCUCUCGUGUUGUUUCCCGUGGUGGAUACAUUUCCGUGUUUGAUUUGCAUUAGAGUCCCCCUUUUCCAGCUUUCCUAAAAUUCACCCUAGAAAAUACAGAAUAUAUAAAACUUGUGGAUAUUGUUAGUUUAAACCCUAUACUAGUGUGUAUUCAUGAUCUCCUUUAGGUUUAAAGUUAUAAUUAAAGUUGACGUUAUCGAGUGUCAACAAUUCCCCCAAGCUUACCUUUUGCUAGUCCCUUGGAAAACUGAGCCUAAGUAGUCUAUGUAUCUAGAUCAAGAGUUGCUAUAAUGUUUUCAUUCUUUCCAAGUACACAUGCUCCCAGACAAAGAUCUUCCUCCAGAUUAGUCAAUACAUGCUCUAAUUUUCAAACUUACCCGUUUACCGUUAACCAUGGGCUUUAUAGCUUUUGCAUGAGUCUUGAGCAGUCAGAAGAUAGAACAAUCAGGUUCAGCACUAUGUCUCAAAUUCUUUGCAAAACCAUUAUUCUAGAGUUUUUAUUAGUUUUCAUAAUAAAACUCGGAGCUUAAUUAUAUGACACCCUCAAAUCUCUCAAUAUACGUGGUAUUUAUGGUUCUCUCUUGAGGUAUUUAUACCUCCUAUAGCUAAAGGUAUAUAUAUGGUGGAGCUUAUAGGAGUGCUAAUAACAAGGAUAAGCAUACAUGCAACACAUGUAUUGUAAAGUCAACUAAUGGAUCUAUAGAGAAUCGAGGCACACAAUCAAACCAAGAUGUGCAUGUGUAUGGAAUAUGGUGGAUAGGUGCAUUUGUGGUAUUUGUGGCUAAUUUAUAUUUCCUUGGGAAUAAUUCUCUAUUGAAACUUUUGAGGAAAGACAUGGGCUAUCUUUAUUAUUCGUUCACUCUCUUCCCUCUUUUUCUUUUUUUUCUUUUUUUCACAAGGAGGCUGACAUCUAGUACCCAUUGUUUUCAUUAUUGGGACAAUUGUCCAUCUUUUACUCCCUUUUCUUCUUUUAUAUAUUUUUGCAUAGCCACAUGUAUCCGUUGAAUACAAUAAAUGAUUAGAGAAGUAAAAACUUAGAUCAUUAAAGACAAGGGUUAUCCUAUGGGGUGUUUGUUGGUGUUUACUCCCAGUGUAGGAAUAAUGCAUAUAUGAAUUGGAGUGUGUACGUGAUCUUGAUCUAGAAAGCAUGACAAGACUCUCAUAAGGUAUACAACAAAGGUUGACUAAACUCAAUGCAGAGCAAGUAGCACAAAUGUGCAAAUGUCUUCCUAACUAAAUGUGUAUUAUAUAUGGCUUUGGUAGGAAUUAACACUUUGUCAUAGAAGAGCUCAUCAUGUAGGUUUUUAGGUUUUCAAAAUAAAUCUCCAGAACUUAGUAUUACUAGGAAUGAGAUAAAUAGCAGCUCAAACCUUCAAUGAUCAUAUCAACCAACUACCAAGACUUAGCUCAAACUUAUGCCUCCACAAAUUUAGGUACACAGUAAAUCUUCAAAUUAAAAUAGUACUAUCUAAAACUCGAGAAAAUCUAACGUUGGAAUCUAGGUACUUGUAAAGAAUAGAGCAACUAUUCAUCAUUUCCAAGACAAAAGUUAAAUGUUCAUCAAUUUUAUUUGGUUCUAGUUUAGACUGACUCUAAACAGGCUCUAACACUUAACUAAUUUUAGACUCACAAAAGACUCUAUGACUUGUGGACCUUCAUGUGCCCACAUAUUUUUGGUAUUUUUAUGACUAUAUAGACUCGAUAAAUGAUUAGGUAUAAUUACCUGAUAACUAGGGGAUGCUCCUCCCCCAAGCUGGAUGUUUGCAAUACUUGGUGUAGAUGUCCUUCAGAGCGAGCUAGCCAGUGGCGAACCUGGUGGGUGCCACCGAUAGACUCUCCUCUUGCUAUGAUGUUAUUCCCGCAUAGUCAUACUCCAACAAGAAAAUCAAAACUCGAGGCUUGUAUUUAAUAAUGGGUUAGCGGUCAGCCAAUGAGCAAGUGAUUAUUCUUAUGAGCUAAUUUUAAUGUUGUCUGAUUUAAGCAGGAUUUCAUAUUUCUCUUCUCUUUGAAUUUUCUAUUUAUGAUGUAGAAAUUAAAUAUGAAUGCUAUAUAUCUAUAUAUUUAUAUUUUUUAUGCCACCACAAUAAAUAUUCCUAAGGGGUUACCAUAAGUUUAUUCACAUGGGGCUUCGGUAUUUAUGAUGCAGUAAUUUAAGCAAUAAAUAUUUUUGUUUGUAUUUCAUAUUAAUAUGCUAAGGGAAAUAAAUAUGCUACUAAGAGUAUUAAAACAGAAUUACUAAUGCAUGCUAAUUUAACUAGAUAACUACCAUUCUGACCUUAUGGCUAGGGUAUGGAAUUUAAAGUCUAGCGACAGGGCUUUGAUAGUGGAGUGGGCUUACUCAAUGGGUUCAUUGUCUGAGGUAACCUCAGUCAACUCCCCAUCUUGCGGUGAUGCGGUACGUGUGUCUUCCUCCCAUCUUGCUUCUAUCUCUUUUGUUUUUUCCUUCUCUAGUUCCAAUUCUUCAGCUUUGUUCUCUUUCUCCUAGGCUUCUAAUUUGGCUAAGAUCUCCUCUUUCUCUUUCUUGGCGAUCUGGUCCAUCCUUUCAGCUUCUUCAGCCCACUCAAUCCAUCUUCUUCCUCCAUGAGGUGAUAUUCAUACUUUAUAAUCUUGCCAGGAAAGUCUUCCCAUCCAUAGUGAGGUAGGCAGCUUGACGGCGGGCUCAGCGUCUUCUCCUAUUGUGUUCCUUCCUGAUAUACUCACGAUUAACUAAUGUUCUAAAUUGACAGCGUACAUUUCCAGUGGGUAGGUUGACAUGGAUAUGCCCUAAUCCGAUGUAGAUGUUGGCUUUGGCUGUGUAGAGGAAUGGUCUUCCCAAGAGGAUCGGGAUCUCAUUGUCUCCCUGCAUGUCAAGCACUAGAAAAUCUGCAGGUAUAUAAUGUUCUUGAAUUCUUACCAUUACAUCCUUGACCAUUCCUUCUAUGAAUCUUAAUGAUUGAUCUGCCAUCUGCAACUGAAUAUGUGUUG